GCCCUGAGCGCUGAGCUGGGGCGCCCGCGAGGGACGGGACAGGGGCGCCCCUCGUCCCGCUCCUGGAUGCGGAUCCCGCGGGCCCGCCUCUGCCCGGGGGACACUCACAGGCGAAGCCCUAGUCUCCCGCGCGGCUCUUCCACUUCCCGAGGCUGGGAGGCAUGAGCGGAUGGAGCUGGAGUCCGCGGGCUAAGGAAGCCAGAGCUAUCAUGUCAUGAGGAACUCAAGCAGCCCUGUGGAAAGACUCACAUGAUGAGGAACUGAGGCCUCCUGCCAACAGCCAUAUGAGUGUGCCAUAUUGGAAGUGGAUCCUGCAGCCCCAGUAAAGCCUUCAGGUGACUGUAGCUUGGGUGAUGCUGACUGAAACCUCAUGAGAGAUCCUGAGCAGAAUCACCCAGAUAAGCCACUCUCAGAUGACCCACAGAGACUAUGAGAUGAUAAAUGUUUAUUGUUUUAAUAUGUAACAGAGAGGCUGGAGAUUCAGUUUAACCCCUCCUCCAGGGAAGAAGAAGAAAUACCAGAAAUAGAUUGCCUGAGGACAGGCAGUUGCCUUCUUGGACGGGGAGGAGAUAAAUGAGAAGAUCUCUGGCCCUGGAGACCAUCUACCCUGUCACCAACCUGUGAGCCAAAACCUACACUUAGUCAAGUUCAUUGUUUUCACAUCUUUGUUUUUGUCUUUGCUUAGUGCUUAAAUUAAACAUUCCUAUGGAUUUCUGUAACCAUGUCUGGCUGAAAUGAGAGGGAAUAACGAGGUCCCAGCUGGGACGGUAAUUUGAGAACUAAGCACGCCAGUCUUGGAACCUGGAGGUGGUGGCUGGGCUGAGGGAGCUUGAAGGUGAGGGUGGAACUUGUAGAACCUGGUUCAGCUUCUAAUUUUGCCAUCCAUUCACUAUGAUCUCUAGCAGGGUACUAUUGCUGAGCUUAUUUUCUUGUGUGUUAACAGUGGAAAAUAAUGUUUGUCCUACCUAUUUCAUAGGGACACUGUAAGAAUGCAAUGAGAUUUUGUAUGUGAAAGCAUCCCCUUACCUACUUCACUAGUGAGAACUACUAAAGACCAUGCCAUCUGAACCAAAUUGCAAAGCAAGGGUACAGACAAAUGCUGGUCAUGAAAUAUCUUCCACUUGUGCCUGUCCUUUUUAAGGACUGCUACACUCCAUCCUUGGUUUAUUAAUAACAUGUUUUGACUCACUUAGACCUCUAGGCCACCACCACAUACGUUUCACUGUUAAAAUUCCUUUAUUUCUCUCCUAGGCUCUGUUUGUGUCCAUAGCACCUAACAUUGUGCUCAGAGCAGGAACCGUGUAAAUACACGUGGAUUAAUAGAUGAAAAUAUUCUGGUUAUAGAGAGCUCAUCCAUGACUUUAAAUUCCCCUCUAACAAACAUUUCUAUUUCUUUAAGCUGGUGUGUAAAGUCAUUUGUAAGAAAUUCUUAUUGGUGAGGUCAGUGUGUCUCAUAAUAAUUAGAGAUUAUUGAUACACUAGUAGUCAGUUUGUGUUUAUACUAGACUUAUUUCAAAGAACAUUAUAACGUUUAUGAAUCAAGCUGGGACAGAGAAGCAACUGCAGACAAAGUGACUCUUUUGUGGCCUCUGACAACUGGUGGCUUUAAACAAUGAAGACCAUUGUAUAAGAACUCCCUCCAGGGGUUAUUGUGAGGAUUAAUUAGAUUAAAAUCUACAAAAUGCUUUGACUUUUUCCCAGAAUUCUU